rnacentral:rRNA from 2 species
CUUGCAUCAUGAUUUACAUUUGAGUGAGUGGCGAACUGGUGAGUAACACGUGGGAAACCUGCCCAGAAGCGGGGGAUAACACCUGGAAACAGAUGCUAAUACCGCAUAACAACUUGGACCGCAUGGUCCGAGYUUGAAAGAUGGCUUCGGCUAUCACUUUUGGAUGGUCCCGCGGCGUAUUAGCUAGAUGGUGRGGUAACGGCUCACCAUGGCAAUGAUACGUAGCCGACCUGAGAGGGUAAUCGGCCACAUUGGGACUGAGACACGGCCCAAACUCCUACGGGAGGCAGCAGUAGGGAAUCUUCCACAAUGGACGAAAGUCUGAUGGAGCAACGCCGCGUGAGUGAAGAAGGGUUUCGGCUCGUAAAACUCUGUUGUUAAAGAAGAACAUAUCUGAGAGUAACUGUUCAGGUAUUGACGGUAUUUAACCAGAAAGCCACGGCUAACUACGUGCCAGCAGCCGCGGUAAUACGUAGGUGGCAAGCGUUGUCCGGAUUUAUUGGGCGUAAAGCGAGCGCAGGCGGUUUUUUAAGUCUGAUGUGAAAGCCUUCGGCUCAACCGAAGAAGUGCAUCGGAAACUGGGAAACUUGAGUGCAGAAGAGGACAGUGGAACUCCAUGUGUAGCGGUGAAAUGCGUAGAUAUAUGGAAGAACACCAGUGGCGAAGGCGGCUGUCUGGUCUGUAACUGACGCUGAGGCUCGAAAGUAUGGGUAGCAAACAGGAUUAGAUACCCUGGUAGUCCAUACCGUAAACGAUGAAUGCUAAGUGUUGGAGGGUUUCCGCCCUUCAGUGCUGCAGCUAACGCAUUAAGCAUUCCGCCUGGGGAGUACGGCCGCAAGGCUGAAACUCAAAGGAAUUGACGGGGGCCCGCACAAGCGGUGGAGCAUGUGGUUUAAUUCGAAGCUACGCGAAGAACCUUACCAGGUCUUGACAUACUAUGCAAAUCUAAGAGAUUAGACGUUCCCUUCGGGGACAUGGAUACAGGUGGUGCAUGGUUGUCGUCAGCUCGUGUCGUGAGAUGUUGGGUUAAGUCCCGCAACGAGCGCAACCCUUAUUAUCAGUUGCCAGCAUUAAGUUGGGCACUCUGGUGAGACUGCCGGUGACAAACCGGAGGAAGGUGGGGAUGACGUCAAAUCAUCAUGCCCCUUAUGACCUGGGCUACACACGUGCUACAAUGGAUGGUACAACGAGUUGCGAACUCGCGAGAGUAAGCUAAUCUCUUAAAGCCAUUCUCAGUUCGGAUUGUAGGCUGCAACUCGCCUACAUGAAGUCGGAAUCGCUAGUAAUCGCGGAUCAGCAUGCCGCGGUGAAUACGUUCCCGGGCCUUGUACACACCGCCCGUCACACCAUGAGAGUUUGUAACACCCAAAGUCGGUGGGGUAACCUUUUAGGAACCAGCCGCCUAAGGUGGGACAGAUGAUUAGGGUGAAGU